UGGGCGGACCUGAUCAGCCAUGCCGCGUGUGUGAAGAAGGCCUUAUGGUUGUAAAGCACUUUAAGCGAGGAGGAGGCUACCGAGACUAAUACUCUUGGAUAGUGGACGUUACUCGCAGAAUAAGCACCGGCUAACUCUGUGCCAGCAGCCGCGGUAAUACAGAGGGUGCGAGCGUUAAUCGGAUUUACUGGGCGUAAAGCGUGCGUAGGCGGCUUUUUAAGUCGGAUGUGAAAUCCCCGAGCUUAACUUGGGAAUUGCAUUCGAUACUGGGAAGCUAGAGUAUGGGAGAGGAUGGUAGAAUUCCAGGUGUAGCGGUGAAAUGCGUAGAGAUCUGGAGGAAUACCGAUGGCGAAGGCAGCCAUCUGGCCUAAUACUGACGCUGAGGUACGAAAGCAUGGGGAGCAAACAGGAUUAGAUACCCUGGUAGUCCAUGCCGUAAACGAUGUCUACUAGCCGUUGGGGCCUUUGAGGCUUUAGUGGCGCAGCUAACGCGAUAAGUAGACCGCCUGGGGAGUACGGUCGCAAGGCUAAAACUCAAAUGAAUUGACGGGGGCCCGCACAAGCGGUGGAGCAUGUGGUUUAAUUCGAUGCAACGCGAAGAACCUUACCUGGCCUUGACAUACUAGAAACUUUCCAGAGAUGGAUUGGUGCCUUUGGGAAUCUAGAUACAGGUGCUGCAUGGCUGUCGUCAGCUCGUGUCGUGAGAUGUUGGGUUAAGUCCCGCAACAAGCGCAACCCUUUUCCUUACUUGCCAGCAUUUCGGAUGGGAACUUUAAGGAUACUGCCAGUGACAAACUGGAGGAAGGCGGGGACGACGUCAAGUCAUCAUGGCCCUUACGGCCAGGGCUACACACGUGCUACAAUGGUCGGUACAAAGGGUUGCUACACAGCGAUGUGAUGCUAAUCUCAAAAAGCCGAUCGUAGUCCGGGAUUGGAGUCUGCAACUCGACUCCAUGAAGUCGGAAUCGCUAGUAAUCGCGGAUCAGAAUGCCGCGGUGAUACGUUCCCGGGCCUUGUACACUCCGCCC
rnacentral:rRNA from 1 species